rnacentral:rRNA from 1 species
AACCCUACGGGGGGCAGCAGUGAGGAAUAUUGGUCAAUGGCCGCAGGGCUGAACCAGCCAAGUCGCGUGAGGAAUGACGGUCCUAUGGAUUGUAAACCUCUUUUGUCAGGGAGCAAAGGGCGCCACGUGUGGCGUUUUGCGAUUACCUGAAGAAAAAGCAUCGGCUAACUCCGUGCCAGCAGCCGCGGUAAUACGGAGGAUGCAAGCGUUAUCCGGAUUUACUGGGUGUAAAGGGAGCGUAGGUGGCAUGGUAAGCCAGAAGUGAAAACCCGGGGCUCAACCCCGCGGAUUGCUUUUGGAACUAU